rnacentral:pre_miRNA from 1 species
CACGAGGGGGACGGGGUCCCUCAGCCCUGAUUGCGAGAGGGCGCAGGCCAGGCUAAGGGACCCCACUGGUGCAUG